UCCUAACCAUGUCAACUACCUCCCCAUCGCCGCCUGUCUCCGCCGCCACCUACGACCGCGCCGAAGCUGUCAAACAAUUCGACAACACCAAGCUCGGCGUCAAAGGUCUCAUCGAUUCCGGAAUCAAAACAAUCCCUUCUUUCUUCGUCCACCCACCCGAAACCCUCUCCGACCUAAAUUCCCGAUCUCAAUCCAACAUCCCCACCGUCGACCUCUCCGCUAUCUCCUCCUCCCGCGCCACCGUCGUUGACAAUAUCCGACGCGCCGCCAGCACCGUCGGCUUCUUCCAAGUCAUCAACCA
rnacentral:lncRNA from 1 species